UAUGACCAUAUCAUGUUGAAACACCGUUUCCUGUAUGAUCACCAAAGUUAAGCAACAUUGAGCUGGUCAGUACCUAGAUUGGUAAUUGCUUGGGAAUACCAAGUGCAGUAAG